ACGCUCGACACCUACGGGGGGCAGCAGUGGGGAAUAUUGCACAAUGGGGGAAACCCUGAUGCAGCGACGCCGCGUGAAGGAAGAAGUAUUUCGGUAUGUAAACUUCUAUCAGCAGGGAAGAAACUGACGGUACCUGACUAAGAAGCACCGGCUAAAUACGUGCCAACAGCCGCGGUAAUCUGAGCGGGCUGGCAAGGC
rnacentral:rRNA from 1 species